rnacentral:rRNA from 1 species
UACGAAGGGGGCUAGCGUUGCUCGGAAUCACUGGGCGUAAAGGGUGCGUAGGCGGGUCUUUUAAGUCAGGGGUGAAAUCCUGGAGCUCAACUCCAGAACUGCCUUUGAUACUGGGAGGCUCGAGUCCGGGAGAGGUGAGUGGAACUGCGAGUGUAGAGGUGUAAUUCGUAGAUAUUCGCAAGAACACCAGUGGCGAAGGCGGCUCACUGGCCCGGUACUGACGCUGAGGUGCGAAAGCGUGGGGAGCCAAACA